rnacentral:rRNA from 1 species
UACGAAGGGGGCUAGCGUUGCUCGGAAUCACUGGGCGUAAAGCGCACGUAGGCGGCUUUUUAAGUCAGGGGUGAAAUCCUGGAGCUCAACUCCAGAACUGCCUUUGAUACUGGGAAGCUUGAGUCCGGGAGAGGUGAGUGGAACUCCGAGUGUAGAGGUGAAAUUCGUAGAUAUUGGGAAGAACACCGGUGGCGAAGGCGGCUAUCUGGACCGACAUUGACGCUGAGGCGCGAAAGCGUGGGGAGCAAACAGG